rnacentral:snoRNA from 1 species
UUGCUCUGGGGAUGCAAAAGAGGGAAAUCCCUGCACUUUCUCUCUGUCUUUGUGGCAGCUGGGAUUGAAUUGGGGAAUGCAUCU